AAUACAGAAUUCCAGGGGUAGUGGGACCCACGCCCUGAGCAAAUCCUGCAUCACACAUCAAGUGCUGCGUUGUGAAUGGUGAAACCAUGCGAUUCCUCUUCUUCUUCUCAUCGUCACUCUCCUCCUCUCUUCCAUUCUACCACCACCACCACCAUGGCUUCCACUCUCUCACUCUCCUUCCCCUUAGACCCUCAAAACCUCCACACCCGCUUCAUCUCCGCCGCCACCACCACCGCCAAUCUCUACAAAACCCGUCCAUUCACUCUCUCAACAACCCCCCACACAAACCCACUUCCCAGUUUCCACCCACACCCUUCCCCCUCCUUCAGAAUCUCAUCUUCCCAAUCCCAAUCCCCCUCUUCCGCCACACUCGACGACCCAUCUCACCCGUUUCUCCCGGGUCGGUUUCUCACCAACGAGGAGCUUCAGCAGCUCGAAUCCCUCGAAGCCUUCCUCUACUCCCACGAGCUGGAAUCCGGAACCAUGUGGGUCCGGGUCAUGCGGGCGCACGAGGUGGACGCCGUCGUUGGGUUACUGGCGGAGUCGUUCGCCGAGUCGAUGCUGUUGCCGGCGGCUUAUGUCAACGUGUUGGCGUUUCUGGUGAAGCAGUAUUUGGUGGAGCGGAGGGCGUUGAUGCCGUACAUGGCUACGCUUGUUGGAUUCUACAAGGGGGUGGGGGAUGGUGAUGGAGAAGGAGGGGAAAUGCAGAUGGCUGGGACUGUGGAGGUUUGUUUUGAUAGAAGGGGUGCGAACUCUUCUGUUCCCUCGCCGGCGCCGCCCAAGGAUUCGCCUUACAUUUGUAACAUGGCUGUGCAAAAGUCUCUCAGGAGGAGGGGCAUUGGCUGGCAUCUUCUAAAGGCAAGUGAGGAGCUAAUUUCUCAGAUGAGCUCUUCAAGAGAGGUUUACUUGCAUUGCCGAAUGAUUGAUGCUGCUCCAUUUAACAUGUAUACAAAAGCAGGAUACAAGGUUAUGAACACAGAUAGUAUUUUAGUCCUGCUAAUGUUGCAAAGACGCAAACACUUGAUGUGCAAGAACCUUCCUCUCUUAAGUACACCUCCAGAAACCGAUCUGUCAGAUUCUGACAUGUAAAGGGCAACAUGAAUGAAUGUGCAAGCAAUGGUAGCGAAGAUGAUUAUGGUGGUUUAAAGUUUGAUUGGCGAAGGGAGAGUGGUUUCACACUUCCUUGUUUGUAUCUGUGGGGAAGAGACCUGUUUUUACAGAUUGGCAAACAUGACUAUAGACUGAAUGGUGUAAGAAUUUCGAGCCAUCUCUGGAUCUAUCACCUUACGAAGUUUCUUGCGGUCAUUCAGUAUGUGCCUCACCUGCAUAUGAAUGAAUAGCAAAUGUGUCGAUGUCUAUGUAGUAUGUGUCUAAAAUUCUGCAACUUGUGAUGUAAACUUUUGGAAUAAGUUCAGUUUACAGGAGUGUAUGACAAAUCACAACUACACCAUUAGUAAGUAUUAACUGGAUAGCUUUAUCCUAAAAUCUACCAUUAAAUUGAAAGCUCUUAUCAAGUUAUCAUAUAAGAUAAUAUUUGGAAAAUAUAGCAUUAAUCCAAAAUCACAUGUCAUUUACAUGUAUUAAGGAUAAGUGGAUAAUGUCAUAUAUACUUUUCAAAUAUAUGGAAGUAAGAACCGUAUGAUAAUAUUUUUAUUGUUCAAUUUUUUACAAUAUUUGACACAAAUAGGAAAAUGACAUCAUAUCUAAUGUUAUUAAUAGUGAAGAAUUGUAAAGCCUUACCCUGGUCUAAACUGAUCCCCCCUCUAUUAUUUAUUUAUUUAUGGUGCCAAGUGAGAGUACUAUCCUAUUGUAAAUUUGUAAUAGGAGUUACUCUUGACCAUUCAAUGUCACAUUAAUGGGCAAAAAUACUAGUUGUUUAAAAGUCGCAUGAUCACUUGAAAAAGUCAUGAUUUAAUCUUGAUCAUCCUUGCAUGAUCCAAUGGUUAGGAUUCGUUAUUCUCACCCUUAAUAUACAACAACGCUUCUCUCACUUGAUACACUCAUGUGUGUGCAUGUAAACUAUCCUCAAUGAUGUCUAAAAAAUAUACCAGGAAAGAUGUAAAUGAAAAUUACUGUUUACCAGUAAUUAUAUGUCCAGUUAUUUUUAAAUGCAAUGGAAAAAAUCAGAAUCAUAACUUUCAAGGUCCUAAAUGUUGCUUUGUCAUAUUUAAGGAUCAAUGUUUUAUUGCGUGUAUGCAUGCAAAUUUCCUACCUGUAGUACAAGGUUCUGAUCAUUAGGACCCUGGUUUAGAUCUACUGCUCGACGUCCAGUCAAAAGCUCCAGAAGAACAACACCAAAAGCAUAAACAUCACUUUGUAGAGUGAGUUUCCCAGUCUGUUGUCAAAUGAAAUAAAUUAAUGAUUUGAAAACAUCUGGUGUAGUAGUCCACAGAUGCUAGAUAUAAUAAGAUAGAAUGUUAAAGAUUGCAAGGUUAUAUUUUGUUUGAGAUAUACAAAUUCUAUCUAAGUAAUAGAAUGUGCUGUAUACUGAGAUAGAUACAGGGAUUAAUGUGUAGACAAUAUCAGUUAUGGUAGCAAUAUUUGGUUGUAAGCAUGACUUUUUACCCUUUCCUGAAUUGAAUUAUGUUCAUUUCAGAUUUUUGGGUCAUACCCUAUUAAAAUAUAAAAACAUGUUCUAAA